GGUAUUUCCAGAAAUGUCAGCCUUUGAUAUUCCUUGUUUCAUAUCUCCACCCUGAAAAUUACUCCAGCUCAAGUUAAUCAUAUCUAACCCAGAUGGUCAAUCAAACUUGAUUUUGCUUGCAGAGGAACCAGGCUGACUUCCAGGUUGGUCUGGGAUCCAGGAUGAGAAGAAUGUCAAUGGGCAACAAUCUCCAGUGGACCCUUGCUGGACGUGUAGCACAAUGAGAAACAAACAUUUACAAUUUUCAGCCAUUGAGAUGUUGGGGUUGUUUUUUAUAACAGCACACUCUGGCCCAUUCUGAAUGAUACAGCUAUGUCACUGGAGAAGCAAUCAAAGAGGCCAAAUUGUUAAUGUCCUUUUGGGCACAGCUGGAGAAAUGUAUCUUGAAAGAGGGAGCUGUUUAUUCUACAACCAAGACCUACAGUACCUUCAAAGGAAUGGAAUGAAUCAUAAACGUCCAGGGUUGGAUCUUUUUUAUAUAUAAAAUGUGGAUAUUCUGUUCAUCAUGGAUUUUUUUCUUGUACUGAUUCUGACAUUCACUGGUGUAGUUGAUAUAUAAUAUUAUAUUGGUUUCAGGUAUACUGCAUAGUGAUUUGA